rnacentral:tmRNA from 1 species
GGGGCAGUUUGGUUUUGACAGCGGGCAGAACUAUUCUGUAAGCACGUCCCCGAGAUGCCGAUUACGGGGUUAAUCAUAGACGGCAGACCAUAACUGGCGAAGAAACUACUUACGCUCUCGCUGCCUAAAAUCGAAUCACAGUAGAUACUGGCUUCAUUCCGACACAAGGUGUUGGAACGAGACAUCACCCAAACACCACGCCCUGAGGCAGUUUGAUAUGGUGGUGCGGAAAAUUCGGGGAUAGUUCGGGUUUGCCUCGCAGCCUGAAUGAAAUUUAGAGGAUAAGGUAACGGUUGGUGGCUUUGGUCUUGCCGUUACACGAAAAUGAAGGCAAAGAUAAGCGUGUAGAAAGCAGAUUAUUUCCUCGUUUGGACACGGGUUCGACUCCCGUCUGCUCCAC